rnacentral:snoRNA from 1 species
CUUCCUCACCCUUACUCUGGGGGCUUUAUUUCAUCUAUGAAGCGCCCUGGUAUUGCCUGAGGACAGAUGAGAAAGCACACGACCUUCCCCAGUCACUCUGUUUUCUUCUGGGGCCUACACGUGGAGCUGACAGG